GCUGUUUGGAUAUCUUGCCGUUAUCCAUUCUCCUCCCGUGUCCCACUCAGAUAAUGUGUGAAUUGACAAGCAUCAGUGCUGGUGGACUGGUAGUGAAGUAUCCCUUUUUCUUUUAAUAUGGUUAACAGGUGAUGGUAUUAGAAUUUCUUGAGAGGUCACAUUUGCUUUCUUUUUUGAUUCACUUUUAGAGGUUCAGAAACCAAAGUAUAAAGAUUGAUGCUUCGUUGCCACUGUGUUCCAUCUGCGAGUAUCCUAAAACUCAUGUUUGCCUUUUUCAUAGUUUUCUCUACUUAAUCUAGCCAUGGAUUAUUGGAUAGUUCACUGUCUAGGUAGCAGAAGGAGAUGACAAGAUGAAGCAGAGCUGCUGAAGACCAGCUAUUACCAGACCAGCAGGAUUCGUUUACUUGCAGGUUUAGGAACCCAUCCUCUAGAACACAGAUGAAAACACAAACAGGCAUUGGAAGUGGUGAACACAUCUCCUUGUCGUCUCUGACCCAUAGCGACGCCGUGGAC